UACAGAGGGUGCAAGCGUUAAUCGGAAUUACUGGGCGUAAAGCGCGCGUAGGUGGUUUGUUAAGUUGAAUGUGAAAUCCCCGGGCUCAACCUGGGAACUGCAUCCAAAACUGGCAAGCUAGAGUAGGGCAGAGGGUGGUGGAAUUUCCUGUGUAGCGGUGAAAUGCGUAGAUAUAGGAAGGAACACCAGUGGCGAAGGCGACCACCUGGCUCAUACUGACGCUGAGACGCGAAAGCGUGGGGAGCGAACAGG
rnacentral:rRNA from 1 species